GUUGGUGAGGUAAUGGCUUACCAAGGCUAUGAUCUAUAGCUGGUCUGAGAGGACGAUCAGCCACACUGGAACUGAGAUACGGUCCAGACUCCUACGGGAGGCAGCAGUGGGGAAUAUUGGACAAUGGGCGAAAGCCUGAUCCAGCUAUGCCGCGUGAGUGAAGAAGGCCUUCGGGUUGUAAAACUCUUUCAAUAGGGAAGAUAAUGACGGUACCUAUAGAAGAAGUCCCGGCAAACUCUGUGCCAGCAGCCGCGGUAAUACGGAGGGGGCAAGCGUUGUUCGGAAUUAUUGGGCGUAAAGGGCACGUAGGUGGACUAGUAAGUUAAAAGUGAAAUACCAAAGCUUAACUUUGGAGCGGCUUUUAAUACU
rnacentral:rRNA from 1 species